rnacentral:rRNA from 1 species
UACGGAGGGUGCGAGCGUUGUCCGGAAUCACUGGGCGUAAAGGGCGCGUAGGCGGCCUGAUAAGUAGGGGGUGAAAUCCUGCGGCUUAACCGCAGGGCUGCCUUCUAAACUGUCAGGCUCGAGCACAGUAGAGGCAGGUGGAAUUCCCGGUGUAGCGGUGGAAUGCGUAGAGAUCGGGAAGAACAUCAGUGGCGAAGGCGGGCCUCCUGGUACACUCCUGACACUCAGACGCGAAAGCUAGGGGAGCGAACGGG